rnacentral:misc_RNA from 1 species
UAUAAUGGCAUCGUUGGUUAAAUACACAAAAAUUGAAAUCUUUCAUUUACGAAAUUCCUAACGUUCCACGUAGUUUCGUUCACAGUCCGAAAAGUGCCAAGAUCUUGGGCCAAUCGUUUUCAUUAUCUAUUUUACGAUGCCCAUUACGAUCACCGUCACCAUUAUUUGAUCGUCGAACGACUCUAAAACGAAUCGAUCUCAGAUUAGAUCUCAGAGAUCUUCCAAUAGAAAAGCGAGACGCGUGCCUACCGAUUCUCAUAACCGUUGCCCUUUCUUACAGCCUCAUACCCGUCACAUAGCCACCAAACAGUUUCAUUAUCGAUGAUUCUCACAGACGAUCAACGAUUCGUUCGAGCGUAAUAGCUGCACAUAGCCACUGUCGUCGAGUUCGUGUCCGGACGACCUGGAUCUCGCACGCCGUCGAUUCAGCCUACGUAUCGUAUCGAUGGGAAAAAGAAAAACGAAAAGACGUGAUAGAAAACGCGAGUGAAACGACAACACACGGUAGCAGUGAGGUUACAACGUCGGCACAUCACAGCUUCAACUUCUCCGUCUUCUUUGGGAAUGUUCUAACAGUGGCUCAGAAGCCAAGAACCUUUCCAAAUAAUCAGCAAUCAUUCAUCGUGCUUUGUUCUGUAACAGAUUCUUUACAACCUCUAUUUCCACCAUUGGAUUUUCACCAUUUCAGUUCCUGUCUGAUGUUAGUCUUCCUGAUAACAUUGGCUGGGAUAGCGCGGCGAUUCGAUGGCGUAACGCUUCUGUUCCUCUGCUUCUAACG